UGGAGAAAUGACCCUGAAAAAACAGACUUAUGCAAAAAGUACUCUUUUUGUGCUUUUCAAUGAGGUAUAGUUGAGCAAUGCAGCUGAAAUAGUACCGACGGUGUAGAAAAGGAAUACAAUCACAAUGGUAAAACAAACAUUUUUGACUUCUGAAAAGUAUGUGUAAUUCACGUGCCAAAUUUCAUCAAAAUCAUAAACUGUGAUGCAAAGGUCAUUAAUUGAAUUAAAAUGGAAUGCCCUUUACUCCAUAACAAUUAUCCUUAAUACUAAUGGAAUGGAAACUGGCUCAAAAUAUCUACAUUAACUGAAAACAAAAUGGCUUCCUUUGAAAUUAUAUGAAACAUAGGCAGGCCAACUCUACAGUUUGAUGCAAAUAAUGGCAGAAACAAAAAUAAUGGCAUUGAGAAGAACGUCUUAGAUGACCAGUCUGCUAUAAAGUCAUUUAAUACAGUAACAGGAGUCUUUUUAAUAGAAAUCAGGAUAUACACAAAAAAAAGAAUCACAAAUUUAACAUGUCCAGCAGGCCAAGACUGAGUUUCUUUGGAAAUCUACCAGAAUUUCUCCUUCCUUGCAUUUACUGUACCAAGACUGCAGGUAACAACAAGUUAGAUUCAUUAUCUGGAGCAACAAGCAUGCUUUUGUUCAGAAGACAACAAUGCAAAAACCAUUUAAAACAAAGAAAAGCCAUAGGUCUGUCUGUCUGCCUUAUGGUGUCCUUAGUGGGAAGUUGAUAUAGGGAAGUGAAUUGAUCCAAAAAUAAAUUGUGAGAAACAGGAAUUGUACAGGAGACAAAAGCCCCUGUAGUUCAGCAGACAGUGUACCUUCAAGGUUAAUGAAUACAGUCGCCUGACUGCGGCCUACAUGCAUGUUCACAUCAUGGAGAGUUACCAGGAGCAACGUCUAAAUUAAGUUUCACUACUGAGGUUAAUUCACAAUUAUGGCAAUCCAUUUAAAACAAUGACAUACACACACGUAAGGCUCACAGAAAGUCUUGGGACACUUGGUUAAUUCUGUAAAAAUGUUGCAAAUUUAUUGAUUACAUAAUAAAACUCCAUUGAGUUAAGUGUCAUAAUUGUUUUGACUGACUCAUUCAGUUCUCUUCUGGUCAUUUUACCAUUGAUUGCAAUUGUAGCUAUUGGCCCCCAAAGGGAUACUAAAGACAAAUGUUUGGUGUUUUAUGUUAUUGCAAAGGUGUGACUAAUUAAAAAGCAACCAAUAGGACUGCUUGUCAAUGAACCUUUUAACUCAGAACAGCCCUUUUAAAACUAGAUUUUUGGUAUCAAUUUAUUACUAAUUGAAAUGCACGUUUUACUUAAAACGACUAGUUGUUUCUAAUGUGAUGUAUAUUUUUGUUAAAAAGAUAAAUAAAAGUAAUGAUUUUUGUUAGAACAGCAAUAAAUUCACAAUAAAUAAAUAACCAAGCAUUCUAAGACGUUCAGUGAGCACUGUAUUCUUCCAUCUUGCAGCCACAGUCCUGGACAGGGUCAUCAGGCAGAGACACUCUUCAUGAACGCAUACUGUCCAAUCAAAUGAGAGAGGCGGAGCCUCUCUACACCUGGUGCCCACCAUUAAUAUGCCUAGUAGCCCAUCCAUAGUAUCAUUCACUGGUGCCACAAUACAAAUGGCUGACACAUGCAGUGUGCCAGCUGGGCUACAGAAACACCGGAUUUCCAUUGGUCACACACCCAUCAUUUAUUAUCUCAAUCUGCUUCUCAGCAUCCGAAACUUCCCUGCUUCUGAAAUCUUCCACUUGAUCUUGAUUAAAUCCUGACAUAAAAUAACACUGCAUUACCAUGUUGGCCUAGAUUCUAGAAGAUAAACCAAACGUUAUACGUCAUAAAUCAGUGAAUGAAUAUGUGGACAUUAGCACGUUGCUUUGUACGACCAAGUUUCAUUGCUACAAGUAAAGCAGGAAGCCAGCAAGUUAACAGAGAAUCCGUAAAGGAAGCUGCAUUCUCUACAUGAGGGGAAUCUGCCAGAGUCACAGGCCCUGAAAUAAAAAAACAGAAGAUGUAAAUGAUGUCCCCUGCAGGGGAAUUCCCUUUUCAGAGGAAAGAACUUCAUAUCUGAAGAAAAGACCUGAAAAAGGGGCAACAGAAGUAUAUUGUUCAAUUGCUUGAAAUGCUUCAUGUACUUUGAAAUUAAUAUAAAUUUCAGUUUGUUUUUCUAACAACCCAAAAUAUUUCAAUAAAAGUAAAAUAAAAACUAGAUUUGGUGUUGUUUUAAAUGUUUCAGUAAAAGUUGUAGUAAAGUAAAAUAAAAAUUAUUCAUAAGACAGACUUUUUAAAUGUUGGUAAGGAAAGCAAUGCUUUAUGAACUUUGAAAACGAAUCCAAAUUUCAGUGAUACGUUUUUUUUCCUAACAACCCUAAAUAUUUCAAUAAAAGUUAAAUAAAAACUAGAUUUGGUGUUGUUGGGAAUGACACACUGUAUUCGCCGGACAGCCCUGUUAUUUGGUCCGGCUAUCAAAAGCCGUACUUGUCCCACACUCAUGGACUUGUACAAUUUUUAGGAGCACUGGAUGGA